GUCAGGAGUUAAGAAAUGUAGGCUCGCUAAUAUCGGGUCUAUUUGACAAAGGCUCCAAAGGAAGCCACGGCUAACUCUGUGCCAGCAGCCGCGGUAAUACAGAGGUGGCAAGCGUUGUUCGGAAUUAUUGGGCGUAAAGAGCACGUAGGUGGAUUUGUAAGUCAGACGUGAAAGCCUCCUGUUCAACGGAAGAACUGCAUCUGAAACUACAAACCUUGAGUGUAGGAGGGGAGAGUGGAACUUCUGGU
rnacentral:rRNA from 1 species